GCUAGGACAGCGCGGAGCUCCGGCGGCGGGCGGGGCGGGGCGUGGCGCCGCGCGUAGAGGCAGGCGGCGGCGGGAUGGAGUCCGAGCCCGAGCCCGCGGCCGUUGAGGUUCCCGCCGGGCGCGUGCUCAGCGCCCGGGAGCUCUUCGCCGCCCGCUCGCGGUCGCAGAAGCUGCCCCAGCGCUCGCAUGGCCCCAAGGACUUUCUGCCCGACGGCUCGGCGGCUCAGGCCGAGCGGCUGCGCCGAUGCCGGGAAGAGCUCUGGCAGCUGCUGGCCGAGCAGCGCGUGGAGCGCCUGGGCAGCUUGGUGGCUGCCGAGUGGAGGCCGGAAGAGGGCUUCGUGGAGCUGAAGUCUCCUGCGGGCUCCAUCCACCUCUUCCACCAAGACCUGCCACUGUCUAUCCAGGAAGCUUACCAGCUGCUGCUGACGGACGACACUGUGACCUUCUUGCAGUACCAGGUCUUCAGCCACCUGAAGAGGUUGGGUUAUGUGGUUCGACGAUUCCAACCAAGCUCUGUCCUGUCCCCGUAUGAGAGGCAGCUUAACCUGGAUGCCAGCGUGCAGCACUUGGAGGAUGGAGAUGGCAAGAGAAAGAGGAGCAGCUCCAGCCCUCGGUCCAUUAAUAAGAAGGCCAAGGCCCUGGACAACUCCCUGCAACCCAAGAGUCUGGCAGCCUCCAGCCCACCUCCCUGCAGCCAGCCCAGCCAAUGCCCAGAGGAGAAACCCCAGGAGUCAAGCCCCAUAAAGGGCCCAGGGGGCCCCUUUAAGCUUCUGGGGUCCCUGGGGCCCAGCCCUGGCCCGGCCAGGGAGGGGGUGGGGUGCAGCUGGGAGAGUGGCAGAGCCGAGAACGGAGUCACGGGGGCCGGUAAGCGGCGCUGGAACUUCGAGCAGAUCUCCUUCCCCAACAUGGCUUCAGACAGCCGCCACACCCUCCUGCGCGCCCCAGCCCCAGAACUGCUCCCGGCCAACGUGGCUGGACGGGAGACAGAUGCUGAGUCCUGGUGCCAGAAGCUGAACCAGCGCAAGGAGAAGCUCUCGAGGCGGGAACGGGAGCACCACGUGGAGGCCGCGCGGUUCCGGGAAGAUGUCAACGCUGAUCCCGAGGUGCAGAGCUGUUCCAGCUGGCGGGAGUACAAGGAGCUGCUGCAGCGGCGGCACCUGCAGAGGAGCCAGAGCCGGGCCCCUCACCUGUGGGGCCAGUCCGUCACCCCUCUGCUGAGUCCCGGCCAGGCCAGCUCCCCAGGUACCCCCUCAGCCUGCCACAUCCUCGAGGGCCACUGGCAGCUGAGGAAUCACAGGACUUUGGAAAGGGCAUGGAUGAACCGGGAUGGAUUGAGGCUUAAGAAAGAUGUGGGAGGAGGGAGCGGACCCACAAGGACGGUCAGUUCUCCCGCGGCUGCAGCAGGGCCUGUGUGGGAAUGAUUAGAGAUGGUGAGUCAGGAGAGGUAAGGAGGGGUAAAAACUAUAGCCAUAUCCUUAAAAUCAUAAACAACAUGCAUGUGGAUGACUUUGCCACCAACUAGCUGUGAUCGCAACCUGUUAGAUGGAAAAAGGAGGUGCCUUCUUGGCCAAGUGAAAGAAAGGCUUGCUGUCUGCUCUAAGCACAGGGAACCAAUGGGGAAAGAAUAAGCUCAGUGUGUUACCGGAUCCCAAAUUACUUAAAGCCUUCAUGGGAAUGCGGUAGAUUGUAGGUAACUAGAUAGGGUUGCCAGAUCAGUUCAAUUUGACUUUCAGUAUAAAUCUAAUUUUUCACUAUCAGUAUGUUCCAAAAAUUGCAUGGGAUAUGCUUAUACUAAAAAAAAAAAACACACACACAAAAAUGUUGCUAGGCUGGACACGGCUCAUGCCUGUAAUCCCAGCACUUUGGGAAGCCAAGGUGGGCAGAUCACCUGAGGUCAGGAGUUCGAAACCAACCUGGCCAACAUGGUGGAACCCCGUCUCUACUAAAAAUACAAAAAUUAGCCAGGUGUGGUGGUGCAAAUGUGUAAUCCCAGCUACUCAGGAGGCUGAGGCAGGAGAACUGCUUGAACCUGGGAGGCGGAGGUCGCAGUGAGCCAAGAUCAUGCCACUAUACUCCAGCCUGGGUGACAGAGAGAGACUCUUGUUUAAAAAAAAAAGGAAAACAAAAGUUGCUAAAUCUGGCCAUCCUAGAUGGCAGACUGAGAAAUGUGACUCCCCUCCCAGGACCUUGUUUUCUCUGUCCUUGUAGCUGUGGUCCUUCAGCAUAUUUCUGUGCUGCAGACAACACACCUUGCUGAUGGAGGUGCCCAGCUGCUGGAGAAGUCUGGGGGCUUGGAAAUCAGCUUUGAUGUUUACCAGGCUGACGCUGUGGCCACAUUCCGAAAGAAUAACCCUGGCAAACCCUAUGCCCGGAUGUGUAUUAGUGGAUUUGAUGAGCCUGUCCCAGACCUCUGCAGCCUCAAGCGGUUGUCUUACCAGAGUGGGGAUGUCCCUCUGGUCUUUGCUCUGGUGGAUCAUGGUGACAUCUCCUUCUACAGCUUCAGGGACUUCACGUUGCCCCAGGAUGUAGAGCACUGACCUCACAGCUCUGCAGGGGAUAGAGCUCGCUCCAGGGGACCGGGACUGUCUGUUCUCAGGGACCAUCUCGGCUGCCUCCUGUACCGACUCUAACCUGUAGCUUCAGGGGCCAGUAUGGGCCUUGGCCCUGAGUGUCUGAUACUCCCAGAGUAAAACUGUGACCCUCUCCCCUUCCCUGCUGCCUUGCAGUGACCCCUCUGGAACUCAGGACUCGAUUUUAAGGACCCAGGAGGUGGGGCAGAAGAGAGGACUCUGUGCCUUUAAAGAGAGGGUGCCUGCUUCGUGCCAUAAAGCCAAAGCCAUUAAAAAUAGAUUUCUUUUC